rnacentral:tRNA from 1 species
AGUGAUGUAGCUCAGUUGGUAGAGUGCUUGCCUAGCAAGCAUGAGGUCCUGGGUUCGAUCCUCAGUACCACAU